GUCGAGUGAUCCUGCGCCGAAGAUUUCCGGGGCUAAAACUUACUACCGAAGCUACGGCAUCAGUAAUGAUGGGUAGGGGAGCUUCCCAUACGGGUUGAAGCAUGACCGUAAGGACAUGUGGACAGUAUGGGAGUGAGAAUGUUGGCAUGAGUAGCGAGAUGUGGGUGAGAAUCCCACAGGCCGUAAACCCAAGGUUUCCAGGGGAAGGUUCGUCCGCCCUGGGUUAGUCGGGACCUAAGCUGAGGC
rnacentral:rRNA from 1 species